UCAGCGCACUAAAGAGACUUUUUAAGUUAUGGCUAUGGAGUUCUUUUCAAUGUGAUGCAUACAAGAGUAUAUGAGUGUGUAAAGUGGCAUAUUUAAUUCAUCUUCAUGGUAUCAUUUUUAUUCGAUGCUGCAGGUUAAGAACAAGAUGCCUUCCCCAGUGCAGAUUACAGCAGAACAGUUAUUGCAAGAGGCAAAGAUAAGAGAGAUGGAGCUGGUAUCUCAAUCUCCAAAGCAGAAGAUUUCAGACCCAGAAGAACUGGCAGACUAUCAGAUGCAAAAAUGAAUGGCUUUUGAAGACAACAUUCACAAGAACCGCUCUGUUAUGACCAACUGGAUCAAGUAUGCUCAGUGGGAGGAGAGUCAGAAAGAACUUCAAAGGGCACCCACAUUGGCAGAUGUCCAAAAAACAAGAUUUUCAGAGGUUACAUUGAAAUUGAAUUAGAGCUUUUUUGAUCGUAGCCGCAUGCUGCAUGAAACGUUUUUGGAGUUUAUUGCACAACAUGGAUGAAAAUAACAUUUCUUUGCUAAUUUUAUGUGUGUGAAUAUUUUGAA